rnacentral:lncRNA from 1 species
UUCAGGCUUUGUUUUUUCUGCUGAGACAGGCAUAGAGGCUGGAGCUCACAGUCUGACAUUCUCCCCUGUGCUGUGGAGCCAGGCAGAUAAUAUUAUGUGUGGGUUAUGCCCAGUUUCCCAUCCUCCCACCUCAUAUUCUGGAGAAGUAAUGACAUCUCUUUUCCUCCUGCUCAAGAAGGCAUUCUGUAGGGUAAGUGAGAGAGGUAUUUGUAUAGGGAUAACCAUGACACAUUUUAUUUAAUGAAAGCCUCCCACCUGUCUCCCUGUUCAAGGAUCACCUUCUUCAGAAAACCUUAAAAACAGUGAUUUGCCUCAGGUGCACUCCACAGUUUGCUGCUCAGAGGUGUCCCUCACUGCUCCCCACCACUGCCAGCCACUGCUCCUGUGGAAGUUGGCUACCCCGAAACUCCUGGUCUAUACUCCCCCUUGACAGGGUGCUGUUCCAUCUUUCUAGGUAGCAGUGGCUGAGGGUGGACAAGACACUCUUUUUUGUGUAGCCUAUUACUUCUCUUCUCCACCAUACCAUCCCAAAAGGCCUUACUGGAGGUUGAAUAUAACCAAAUUAAUUAUGAUUUCAAAAAAUGCUUUAUAUAAUGGUCCAUUAUAAUCCAAGACAAGAUUACAAUUAAACCCUUUCACAGGAGUGUCUCUAUCAGACGCACCCAAUUUCUUGCUUAAUCCUGCCAUCCGCAAGUCUCCACUCCUUCCCCUGAUGACCUCCCUUUUAUAGAUUGUCCUACAAUGUGAAUCCUUAUUCUUCACGGAAACAUUGUGGCCUCAAACAUUUAAUCAGUGUUGACAUCUGUUUCCACAGGUUAUUUCUGGACACAGUAAUCCUUCAGCAAUACAAUUACCAAGUUAUUCAACAUGGAAGGCUUUGCCAAGACAGUGGUGGCUGGGAUUUGACCCUCUAAGUGUGAGGGUCAUCCAUUCCUUUAUUAGCAAAUAUUCAUGAAUGCCCACUAUGUGCAACACACGGUGCUUGGUGCAAGCAUACAGUGAUGAAUCAAGUAGAGAAGGCCCUGCCCUUAUGGAGCUUACAGCCUGGCUGUGUAAACAUCUUGGGAAUAGAGCAGUUGACUGGACAUCUCUCAUGUGCAGCAGCAGCAGGAAAAAGAACUUUGGACUUUAUCUGGUUUGCCUUUGAUUCUCAGUUCUCUCAGUUACUUGCUAAGCAAAUGACAUCUCCUUUCUCUGUUUCAUAUCCCUCAUCUGUUAAACAGGGAUCAUAAUACCUAACGUCGUGGGCUUCCAAGACAAAUCCUAGGGGAGGAAUUCUGCAAUGCACCCAGUACUUGCCAAGUAUUGUGUCUGGUAUUUAGCACAAAAGGAAUUUUAGUUUCCUCUACCUCUCACUUUGGGAGCUCAGAUAAAUUAGUAGCUGUAUUUUCCUAGACAAAAGAUUCUAUUUGUUUAUGUGUCCUACACUGCAUUAGGCUAAGCUAUGGCAAGAAAGAGAAAAAAAAAACUUAAGUGGAUUAAUACAUUUAAAAUGUACUUCUUGCACAUGUAAUACUUCUAGGUGGGUGUUGUCAGGGUCACUCCUCCCCAUGCUGGUGGUAGCUUGAUAUAUUUACUCUGUGGCUUCCAAGAUUACCCAAGGUGUUGACAUCUCAGUGGACUAGAAGAGAGAAUGAGCAUGGAGGCGCAUUUGGGGAGAGUGAGGAGGGCUGAACCUGGAGAUGGGAUCAUUAUUCAUGCUUCACACUGACUCCCAGAGAACUGAGUUAUGUGGUCACAACUCAUAUAAGGGAAACCGGGAGAUCUCAUCUUGCUGUAUUUUUGCAAAUAAAAAUUAAAACCUUAGUUUCCCAUAAAGAGGCAGCGUAAACAUCCGGCAGGGAAGAAUGGAAUUUUGGGGACAGUUAGCAGUCUUGAUUAUUAAUUAAGAGCAAAUAGUUCUUCCCUUGUAGCGUUCAUCACCAUCCCUCAAAAACACAAGUAAUAGAAAAAGCUGAGAUAGAGUUACCCUGGGAGAAUCCAAGAAUAACUUUGGUAAGGUAAGUGUAUAUAAAUUGAAAGAAAACACUCGACUGCUAUUCUAAUCAUUCUUGUAAUCAACAUUUAUUUAAUUUUUAUUAGGCAUCACUUGGUGGGGAUACAAAGAUGGAAAGAGGAAGGCAAUGUAUGUAUGCUAGGAGGAUCAGAAGACAACCAUAGUUAGCUAAGAGGUCAUGAUUUAGCAACAAAUGAAACCAGACUUGUCUAACAAAUUUCUCAUCAACAAACAUUGUACAAAAAAAAGUACUGAAUAAAAGUAUUGCCUAUGUUGUUGUUCACACCUAUGUAUUUACUAGAAUGUCUGAGAGGGCUGUACUGUAUAUAUGACUUUAAAUUUUAGUUGAUUUAUUUAUUAACCUUGAAAAGAGUAAGUACUUCUUAGUGAAAGCAAUUCUUACAGCUUUGUUUUCAACCAACUAAAAAUGAUAUCACUCUUACAUAUUGUCCUCCAUAUUCUGAGGUCUUAAAUGUACUUUUUUCUGAUUUGUAUUUAUGUCCUGAGACAGAGAUUUUUGGAAAAGAAAAUAAACCUACAGUUAAAAGAAAAAAGAAAACAAUGAAAAUAGAAGCUGAGCUUAGCUGAGGAUAUGAAUAACGAAAAGCAACCACCUUACCGCAAAACAACUCUAAGAAGUAGGAUUAUCAUCACUCAAUUUACAGGCAUCCAUGUCCUCCAGGAUAUAAAGGAAGAAGUUGAGGGAUGGAUGCAGAGUAUACUAUUCUCCACCAUUACAAA